CAACGAUGACGAGGCGCGUGACAGUGGCUGUGCUGCUCCUGAUAGCAGGCGUGGUGGUGGAGGCCGCUGGUCCGGGAUGUCCUCCAUCAGCGGACGGCGGACGCUACGACUACAAGGAGGCGCUGUGCAUGAGCUUCUUGUUCUACGAAGCGCAGCGGUCAGGCGCCCUGCCGCCAGACCAGCGCGUCACGUGGCGCCAUGACUCAGCACUUUCUGACGGCCUGGACAACGGCCUAGACCUCACAGGAGGAUAUU